CUGAAAGCUAUCUAUAAGUAUUACUUAGAUACGUUUUUAAGUUUGAGGGAAAGCUUCACGUUCGUGUUAGCAUACUGGCUUAACCUUAACUUUUACCUUACAUCUGUAUUGAAAUCAAAGUAUUCAAGAUGUUUUACCAUUAUCAUUUUAAGAUAUGAGCCACACAAAGUAUCAAAUAUAAUACACUUGGAUGAAUGAAAUAGUAUUUUUUUUAUUAAACAAUUAGUGUGACAAGAACAAGUGAGUGCGAUUGUGUGAACAGAUUCAACAAUGGACACAGCAGGGAACACUAUAUACUUAGGGCAAACCAUUAACAUAUAUCAUUGCAAAUAUACUAUACUUUAUGCCAUUACAAUACUUAUAAUAGCCCUGAGCAAAUUCAAAAUUGGUUAAGAUCAAUGGUCAUGGUUGGCUGUGCAGCGUUUGGAUGCUCCAAUCGGUCCGAGAAGGGUUACCACAUGUAUGGCUUCCCCAAGGACCAAGAGCGCAGGAAGAAAUGGAUGGCAAUGGUCAGCCGUCAAAACGUACAAGUGACAGGGGUCAGCAACAGUCAAAAACGAUGUGAUGUACACUUUGAAGAUGACCAAUUCACUGCCACAAAAAGAGAAGGGAUGUUGAAGUUGAGGCCCGAUGCAGUCCCAACAGUUUUCAUUCAUCGCCCUAAGCCGAAGAAGAGGAAACCCCCUUCUGUGAGGGUGCCUCCAGAACCAAGUGCAACGGACCACACAUAUUGCGCCAAAUUAAACUUCGAGAUUGAUGGAGAAAUUGAGGUGGAUUUCAAGAGCGAUGAAAAGGACAUGACAGGAGACAGAGAGAGCAAUCAAGGGGCCACUUUGCCAGGGGCAGGUGAUCCAGGGCCAGCUGCUCCAGGGACCAGACUGCCAGGGACUGAUGGGGCGACUGUGGAGGACCUAAUAAGGCAACUAGAAAAGGACAAAUGAAUGAGAAGGAGAGCAGAGAGGGCUCUUGUAAAACAAAAAAGAAUCAAUUUGGCACUAAGAAAGAGAAACAAUUCAGUCCACAAGAAGUUAAAACGAAAAAGCCAUACAGGUUAAAUUCACCACCCAUCAUAAUCAGCAUUGUUGAAGCGGCGGCAUCUGUAGGGCUUCAUGUGCUGAACAUCACCCUUUUUAGUUUCCAGGAUAUAAUUAAACAAACCCACGGUUAUUUCUACUAGCUAUCGCAUCAUAAAAGCCGUCCUUAAAUCAACCUAAAUGAUCCUAGUAAUCCAACAUAAAUAACUAACUAAAUAAAAGUUAGAUUCACUACUCGAGCUAACAAACCAGCAAGCAAUCGGUCGUCUACCAAGAUAAAAAAUAUAUAUAAUUACACUGUGCAUAUUCAAAUAAAUAUCAGUAUAUGCAUCAUAGGUCCUGAUAAAAAACAGACAGUUGACAAUUCAAAAGAGGUAGCUAUUUAAUCAAUUUACCCCUGGAGAUACCUUCACAGAUGGCGAAGUUGAGCUAACAAACUAGCAGGUAAUCGGUCGUCUACCAAGAUAAAAAAUAUAUAUAAUUACGCUGUGCAUUUACAAAUAAAUAUCAGUAUAUGCAUCAUAAAGGGCCUCUGAUACAAUAUAGACAGUUGACAAUUCAAAAGAGGUAGCUAUUUAAUCAAUUUACCUCAGAAGUUACUCGACGGCCAGCAAUGGAAAUGAAUGAUCUCCUACGCCGUAAAAUGGUUGUUUGGAACUAUUCGAGGCUCCAUACCCCGGAAGUAGGCGCUACAACGGAGUCCAAUGGAAGUGUCGCCACUAUGUUAUAUCUACCACUCUGGUCCUACCCAAUCCCCAGUAGUAGGGUAGGAAGGGGGGGUUCCCAUGCACCCGAGAGGUAUAUUUUUCUAACCAAGCUUUUUGUAAUCAAUGGCAGGUGUCUAGCAAAGGAAUUUUUAAAUUUUUAAAUUUUGCAAAUUAUUGUCCCAUGUAUGAUUUUUCUCACCAUCUUUUGUGUCUGUGCUUGAUUUUCGGCUGUGAAAAAUGAAAACUUUAAAUCUACAUAGAUCUUAUACAUUCUACACAAUACAUUACAGAACAAUACAUUCUACAGACACAAUCCUCCCAAUUUUCUCUUCGUAUUGUUAUGAAGAAUUUAUAGAGAUGAGGAUUGUCAUGAUUAGAUAAUGUAUGGUGCAUAAAGACUCAAAUAAACACAAUUUUUUUUUACAAAAUCGGUGACAUUGGAUCACUGGAACUCCUCCCCUAUGGACCCUAUUGAUAUAUGUUUUCUAACUUUUGUAUUUUUACAGUCUUUAAGAUGUCUCAUAAACAAAUGUUGAUGAUCCCCACUUGAAAUAUGGUCACAUGUAUGUUUAUUCUGGCUAUAUUGGUUGCCACCCUGGAUUUCCAAAAAAAAGAAAAAAUCGACAUAAUGUCUUAAA